UUGGAUUCUAGACUGCAAGAGAAAUUCGUGGAGCCCAAUUUGAUAGAUUUGGUUGAGGUUAGUAUGGUCGAAUUACUAUUUUUCUGGACUGCUGCAGCAUUGAAGCUAUUUUUGGGCUUUUUGGUUGUUUUUCAAUGCAAUUCUUGGAGGGAGCUGGAAUUGCGACCUAAGCCUUGUGUACUAUCACUCUCACUGGAUUUGGAACUUUACUUCAUCAUAUUUGAAUAUUGGAAGGUGUAGUUGACAUUGGAGUUGAGAGAAUUUGAAGCUGAAGUGCUGAAUUUUAGUUUGUUGAUGAAUUUAUUGAUGUUAUUGUUGUAGAACCUUGGAGAAUCUUUGAUUGCUGAU
rnacentral:lncRNA from 1 species